GCCAGGUAUGGUGGUGUGUGCCUAAAAUCCCAAUUACACAGGAGACUGAGGCAGGAUCGUUGGAGCCCGGGAGUUCUAGCCUGGGCAACAUAGUGAAAAGCAC
rnacentral:sRNA from 1 species